AUAAGAAUAGUGCUCAAUACUCAUUAUCUCAUUUUCCUUUUUUCUUUUCUUUUUUUUUCUUUUCUUUUUUGAGCUAUAAUCUCUUUCAUAAUAUAAUUAAAACUAUAAAUAAAAUUAAAAACUAAUAAUGUAAGAAUGGUGGAUUUAUUUACACUUAUUUUAUUUUAUUUUUUUAUUGUACGCGAAAUUACUUUUUAUGUCGUUCACAGGAGGUUUUAUUUGUUAUAUUUCCUUCAAAUGGAUGGUCACAAAUCAUGGGUUUAACCCUUCAACAUAAUAGAAAACACAUGUUUAUUAUAAGAUGAAUAAUUUCAUCGUGAGUACAAUAAGCCAACCAUUAUAUUAUGCAGAAAUUAAUGGGUCUAACCCUUCAACUUAAUAAGAAGCCCAGGUUUAUUAUAAGAUGCAUUCAUGAUCAUGCAGCAAACUCAAUGCCUCUUCUCCAAAUAUUCCCACCUCUUCCUACAACUCGAACUACUCCUCGCCAGCGCUGUCUGCUCUGCGAUUUCUAGCCAAGAUAGAGGGCGAUUUUUCGUUUGGCAUUCGGUUUUCCAUUUGUUUAUACAUUCAAUGAGCUUGAGGUCUUCUUCUUCGGUCCAUGGCCGUGUCUCCGACCCACUCGCUCGCUGUGAGCUUUCCAUUACGGAUUUCCCUGCAGAUAUGGAAGAAAUUAACCCAAUAAAGCUGUUUCCAUGAAAUAUACUAUAAGAAAACAAAUAAAUAAAUACAAUGACUGCAAAAAAAACCAGGGAAGCUCUCCCCAGUGAAAGCAAGCUGUGAAGAGAAGAUUGAGACCUUGAAGAAACAACGUGCUUGUUAUCCAAUGCUUGGCUGAGCUUGC
rnacentral:lncRNA from 1 species